rnacentral:rRNA from 1 species
UAGGGAACCUUCGGCAAUGGACGAAAGUCUGACCGAGCAACGCCGCGUGAGUGAAGAAGGUUUUCGGAUCGUAAAACUCUGUUGUUAGAGAAGAACGUUGCAUAGAGUGGAAAAUUAUGCAAGUGACGGUAUCUAACCAGAAAGGGACGGCUAACUACGUGCCAGCAGCCGCGGUAAUACGUAGGUCCCGAGCGUUGUCCGGAUUUAUUGGGCGUAAAGCGAGCGCAGGUGGUUUAAUAAGUCUGAUGUAAAAAGGCAGUGGCUCAACCAUCGUGUGCAUUGGAAACUGUUAGAUUUGAGUGCAGUAGAGGAGAGUGGAAUUCCAUGUGUAGCGGUGAAAUGCGUAGAUAUAUGGAGGAACACCGGUGGCGAAAAGCGGCUCUCUGGACUGUCACUGACACUGAGGCUCGAAAGCGUGGGUAGCAAACAGGAUUAGAUACCCUGGUAGUCCACGCCGUAAACGAUGAGUGC